rnacentral:rRNA from 1 species
AUUGAACGCUGGCGGCAGGCCUAACACAUGCAAGUCGAACGGUAACAGGAAGCAGCUUGCUGCUUCGCUGACGAGUGGCGGACGGGUGAGUAAUGUCUGGGAAGCUGCCUGAUGGAGGGGGUAAAUACUGGAAACGGUAGCUAAAACCGCAUAAUGUCGCAAGACCAAAGAGGGGGGCCUUCGGGCCUCUUGCCAUCGGAUGUGCCCAGAUGGGAUUAGCUUGUUGGUGGGGUAACGGCUCACCAAGGCGACGAUCCCUAGCUGGUCUGAGAGGAUGACCAUCCACACUGGAACUGAGACACGGUCCAGACUCCUACGGGAGGCAGCAGUGGGGAAUAUUGCACAAUGGGCGCAAGCCUGAUGCAGCCAUGCCGCGUGUAUGAAGAAGGCCUUCGGGUUGUAAAGUACUUUCAGCGGGGAGGAAGGGAGUAAAGUUAAUACCUUUGCUCAUUGACGUUACCCGCAGAAGAAGCACCGGCUAACUCCGUG